rnacentral:rRNA from 1 species
GAUAAACGCUGGCGGCGUGCCUAAUACAUGCAAGUCGAGCGAACGGACGAGAAGCUUGCUUCUCUGAUGUUAGCGGCGGACGGGUGAGUAACACGUGGAUAACCUACCUAUAAGACUGGGAUAACUUCGGGAAACCGGAGCUAAUACCGGAUAAUAUUUUGAACCGCAUGGUUCAAAAGUGAAAGACGGUCUUGCUGUCACUUAUAGAUGGAUCCGCGCUGCAUUAGCUAGUUGGUAAGGUAACGGCUUACCAAGGCAACGAUGCAUAGCCGACCUGAGAGGGUGAUCGGCCACACUGGAACUGAGACACGGUCCAGACUCCUACGGGAGGCAGCAGUAGGGAAUCUUCCGCAAUGGGCGAAAGCCUGACGGAGCAACGCCGCGUGAGUGAUGAAGGUCUUCGGAUCGUAAAACUCUGUUAUUAGGGAAGAACAUAUGUGUAAGUAACUGUGCACAUCUUGACGGUACCUAAUCAGAAAGCCACGGCUAACUACGUGCCAGCAGCCGCGGUAAUACGUAGGUGGCAAGCGUUAUCCGGAAUUAUUGGGCGUAAAGCGCGCGUAGGCGGUUUUUUAAGUCUGAUGUGAAAGCCCACGGCUCAACCGUGGAGGGUCAUUGGAAACUGGAAAACAUGAGUGCAGAAGAGGAAAGUGGAAUUCCAUGUGUAGCGGUGAAAUGCGCAGAGAUAUGGAGGAACACCAGUGGCGAAGGCGACUUUCUGGUCUGUAACUGACGCUGAUGUGCGAAAGCGUGGGGAUCAAACAGGAUUAGAUACCCUGGUAGUCCACGCCGUAAACGAUGAGUGCUAAGUGUUAGGGGGGUUUCCGCCCCUUAGUGCUGCAGCUAACGCAUUAAGCACUCCGCCUGGGGAGUACGACCGCAAGGUUGAAACUCAAAGGAAUUGACGGGGACCCGCACAAGCGGUGGAGCAUGUGGUUUAAUUCGAAGCAACGCGAAGAACCUUACCAAAUCUUGACAUCCUUUGACAACUCUAGAGAUAGAGCCUUCCCCUUCGGGGGACAAAGUGACAGGUGGUGCAUGGUUGUCGUCAGCUCGUGUCGUGAGAUGUUGGGUUAAGUCCCGCAACGAGCGCAACCCUUAAGCUUAGUUGCCAUCAUUAAGUUGGGCACUCUAAGUUGACUGCCGGUGACAAACCGGAGGAAGGUGGGGAUGACGUCAAAUCAUCAUGCCCCUUAUGAUUUGGGCUACACACGUGCUACAAUGGACAAUACAAAGGGCAGCGAAACCGCGAGGUCAAGCAAAUCCCAUAAAGUUGUUCUCAGUUCGGAUUGUAGUCUGCAACUCGACUACAUGAAGCUGGAAUCGCUAGUAAUCGUAGAUCAGCAUGCUACGGUGAAUACGUUCCCGGGUCU